GAAAUCGGUAGACGCUACGGACUUAAAAUCCGUCGACUUUAUAAGUUGUGAGGGUUCAAGUCCCUCUAUCCCCA
rnacentral:tRNA from 4 species